rnacentral:siRNA from 1 species
UUUAACUUGGUGUGAGUCCCGCCU